GCCCGUGUGGCGGAACUGGUAUACGCGCACGACUCAAAAUCGUGUGGGGUAACCCAUGUCGGUUCGAUUCCGACCACGGGCACCA
rnacentral:tRNA from 1 species